CCCCACACAGGAUCACACCCUGGAGCGUUUCCAGUACUCUACCAGUCUUGGCUACUGGAGGGAGAGUCAAGCAGAGGCCUACCCAUUCCAUUCCUAGCAUGGGCAGUGGCUAGUGAAUGGAAGGUAAUCUGCUACAAGU